GAAAUAAGUAAUUCAAGAAUAAGCUUCUAACUUAAUUCUUUAGCGAUGAGAUUCGUUAUUAUUUCU
rnacentral:tRNA from 1 species